CCUCCCCUUUUUCUGUUGUGGUUUCAAGUAUGCGCUGUUAGCACGUAGAGUUUUGUUAACCUUUUAAUUACUGCUCGUGGCACUAAUGACUCGUUUGUUGCACCCCAGCCUGUCUUUUCAUCGGUGUGUGUAUGUGUCUCCGUCGGAUGGUGUAGUGGAUUUGAUUACUGCCCUCCUUUCAGUUUAACAGCGGGUUAUUUGAAGGCUGCGUUUCCUGGCCGGUGAACUGGUUGUAAAACUCAUCUAUCCUCGUUUGGAGCUGGGGUCCUACGGGUGAAGGAUCUUUUGUUGUGGUGGUGCUGCUUCAACGUUUGCCAUGUGACACUUUUGAAGUGUAUCAGUGUGUGAUCUGAGUUCACGGUGGGGCAAAGCAAACCAAAAUCAAGGAGGCAGCCAGAGACCAGAUGUUACAAAAACUGAAGAAUUCCCUUUCUCAGAACAGGGCCCUAGCCACACAAGAUCAACAUACCAGCUCUGAAGAUGAAUUUCCACAAUGUGUUCAUAGUGUAAAGAAAGCAAUGAUUAAGAAGGCUGCAAGACCCCUGGCAUUCACCUCUGAUCAUCAUAUCAGUUCUGAUGAGGGCACAAACAUAGCAAGCCCACUCCUUCCAGAUCAUCACACCAGUUCUGAUGAUGCUACAAACAUAGGGAGUCCUGAAAUGUUUCAGGCCAAUGACUCGGAUGAAGAGUGUGGUUUAACCUCAACUCAGAGAAAGG